rnacentral:sRNA from 2 species
UGUAUCGGAAGCCUGACGAGGAUGAGAACCUCCGGGGGCAAGAGGUUCGACUCGAGCGCAGCGAGAGAACGUUGCGUCAGCAACGGCCC